rnacentral:rRNA from 1 species
GACGAACGCUGGCGGCGUGCUUAACACAUGCAAGUCGAGGGCACUAUGGGGGCAACCUUGUAGUGACCGGCGAACGGGUGCGUAACACGUGAGCGACCUUGCCUCGUGGUGGGGGAUAGCCGGCCCAACGGCCGGGUAAUACCGCAUAUGGUGCUUCUCUCGCAUGGGAGAGGUAGCAAAGCCUUGCAGCAAUGCAAUGGCGCCACAGGGGGGCGUCGCGGCCUAUCAGCUAGUUGGGGGGUAAGUGCCCACCAAGGCGACGACGGGUAGCUGGUCUGAGAGGAU